CGCGGCCUAUCAGCUUGUUGGUGGGGUAACGGCCUACCAAGGCGACGACGGGUAGCUGGUCUGAGAGGAUGGCCAGCCACAUUGGGACUGCGACACGGCCCAGACUCCUACGGGAGGCAGCAGUGGGGAAUCUCGCGCAAUGGCCGAAAGGCUGACGCAGCGACGCCGCGUGUGGGAUGAAGCUCUUCGGGGCGUAAACCACUGUUGCCCGGGACGAACGGGCGGAUUUAUCCGCCGUGACGGUACCGGGUGAGGAAGCACCGGCUAACUCCGUGCCAGCAGCCGCGGUAAUACGGAGGGUGCGAGCGUUGUCCGGAAUCACUGGGCGUAAAGGGCGCGUAGGCGGCUCGGUAAGCGUGUGGUGAAAGCUCGGGGCUCAACCCCGAGUCGGCCGUGCGAACUGCCGAGCUUGAGCACUGUAGAGGCAGGUGGAGUUCCGGGUGUAGCGGUGGAAUGCGUAGAGAUCCGGAAGAACACCGGUGGCGAAGGCGGCCUGCUGGGCAGUUGCUGACGCUGAGGCGCGACAGCGUGGGGAGCAAACAGGAUUAGAUACCCUGGUAGUCCACGCCGUAAACGAUGGGCACUAGGUGCUUGCGGGAGCGACCCCGUGAGUGCCGGCGCUAACGCAUUAAGUGCCCCGCAAUGGGGAAGUACGG
rnacentral:rRNA from 1 species